rnacentral:rRNA from 1 species
AUUGACAGCUGGCGGCAGGCCUAACAAAUGCAAGUCGAACGAGUGGCGGACGGGUGAGUAAUGUCUGGGAAACUGCAUGAUGGAGGGGGAUAACUACUGGAAACGGUAGCUCAUACCGCAUACCAUCAGAUGUGCCCAUAUGGGAUUAGCUUGUUGGUGGGGUAACGGCUCACCAAGGCGACGAUCCCUAGCUGGUCUGAGAGGAUGACCAGACACACGGGAACUGAGACACGGUCCAGAAUCCUACGGGAGGCAGCAGUGGGGAAUAGUGCACAAUGGGCGCAAGCCUGAUGCAGCCAUGCCGCGUGUAUGAAGAAGGCCUUCGGGUUGUAAAGUACUUUCAGCGGGGAGGCGUUACCCGCAGAAGAAGCACCGGCUUACUCCGUGCCAGCAGCCGCUGUAUUC